rnacentral:rRNA from 1 species
GACGAACGCUGGCGGCGUGCUUAACACAUGCAAGUCGAACGGUGAAGCUCCAGCUUGCUGGAGUGGAUCAGUGGCGAACGGGUGAGUAACACGUGAGCAACCUGCCCCUGACUCUGGAAUAAGCGCUGGAAACGGCGUCUAAUACUGGAUACGAGAAGGGCCCGCAUGGGCACUUUCUGGAAAGUUUUUCGGUUGGGGAUGGGCUCGCGGCCUAUCAGCUUGUUGGUGAGGUAAUGGCUCACCAAGGCGACGACGGGUAGCCGGCCUGAGAGGGCGACCGGCCACACUGGGACUGAGACACGGCCCAGACUCCUACGGGAGGCAGCAGUGGGGAAUAUUGCACAAUGGGCGAAAGCCUGAUGCAGCGACGCCGCGUGAGGGAUGACGGCCUUCGGGUUGUAAACCUCUUUCAGCAGGGAAGAAGCGAAAGUGACGGUACCUGCAGAAGAAGCACCGGCUAACUACGUG